UACGUAGGGUGCAAGCGUUGUCCGGAAUUAUUGGCGUAAAGAGCUCGUAGGCGGUUUGUUGCGUCGGCUGUAGAAAUCCCGAGGCUCAACCAUCGGGUCUGCAGUCGAUACGAGCAAACUAGGAGUGUUGCAGGGGAGACGUGGAAGUUCCUGGUGAUGAGCGGUGAAUGACGCAGAUAAUCGAGGAGGGAACACCGGUGGCGAAGGCGGGUCAUCGUGGGCAAGCAACGUGACCGGCUGGAGGAGCGAAAGCGUCGGGGAGCGAACAGG
rnacentral:rRNA from 1 species